rnacentral:rRNA from 1 species
AUACGUAGGUGGCAAGCGUUAUCCGGAAUUAUUGGGCGUAAAGCGCGCGUAGGCGGUUUUUUAAGUCUGAUGUGAAAGCCCACGGCUCAACCGUGGAGGGUCAUUGGAAACUGGAAAACUUGAGUGCAGAAGAGGAAAGUGGAAUUCCAUGUGUAGCGGUGAAAUGCGCAGAGAUAUGGAGGAACACCAGUGGCGAAGGCGACUUUCUGGUCUGUAACUGACGCUGAUGUGCGAAAGCGUGGGGAUCAAACAGGAUUAGAUACCCUGGUAGUCCACGCCGUAAACGAUGAGUGCUAAGUGUUAGGGGGUUUCCGCCCCUUAGUGCUGCAGCUAACGCAUUAAGCACUCCGCCUGGGGAGUACGACCGCAAGGUUGA